rnacentral:rRNA from 1 species
CCUACGGGAGGCAGCAGUGGGGAAUAUUCGGCAAUGGGCGCAAGCCUGACCCAGCAACGCCGCGUGAAGGAAGAAGGCUUUCGGGUUGUAAACUUCUUUUGUCAGGGAAGAGUAGAAGACGGUACCUGACGAAUCAGCCACGGCUAACUACGUGCCAGCAGCCGCGGUAAUACGUAGGGUGCCAGCGUUGUACGGAUUUACUGGGUGUAAAGGGCGUGUAGCCGGGUUGACAAGUCAGAUGUGAAAUUCUGCGGCUUAACCGGAGAACUGCCUUUGAAACUGGUGAUCUUGAGUACUGGAGAGGCAGAUGGAAUGCCUAGUGUAGCGGUGAAAUGCGUAGAUAUUAGGAGGAACACCAGUGGCGAAGGCGGUCUGCUGGACAGCAACUGACGGUGAGGCGCGAAAGCGUGGUGAGCAAACAGGAUUAGAUACCCUAGUAGUC